AUCCGACGAUGAUCCCCUCGAUUCGCGGCGCCCUCGCCUCCACCACUCCCCAACCACCCGACGCCGACCCCCCUCAAUUCACGCCCCCACCUGCUGCAUCGGCUCCCUCUGGCGCCCCGCCUCCUGGCCCAGAUCCGUGCACCCCUUGCCCUCUCCGGACUCGAUGAUUCACAGAUCUGCCCAGCUGCCCAGGCACAGACUACCGGCAUCCGGAUCUCCUGCUCCACUGCUCGCCGCCUUGGGGCUCUCCGGCGUUGGCUCAGCGCGACGAGCCCCCCAAUAGCCUAGUUCCGGAUCCCCCAACCGCCCACGCCCCACAGUUCAAGCACCGGCCACCGAUGUCUGACGAACGAGCGAACUCCCCGCGGAUGCAGGAGGAGGAGGUGCAGGAGCGACCGCCGACCGUCCGCGUUUCACCAUCCCCUUCUCCGAUCUCAAGGUAACCUUCUCCGGUGUUGAAACCAUCCGUGGCCACCUGGCGAGCUGGUGCCCGCAAGAGGUGGUGCUGAGGCAUGAGGCGGUGGGCGUGUUCCUGACACACUGCGGGUGGAACUCAACCAUGGAGAGCUUGUGCGUCGGGGUGCCGAUGCUGUGCUGGCCCUUCUUCGUGGAGCAGCAGACCAACUGCCGGUACACGUGCAUGAAGUGGGGCGUGGCCAUGGAGAUCGGCCAGGACGUUCGGCAGGAGGCGGUGGAGGAGAAGAUCCGAGAGGCGAUGGGCGGGGAGAAGGGAAUGGAGAUGCAGCGCCGCGCGGGAGAGUGGCAGCAGACUGGUCUCCGCGCGACGCGGCCCGGAGGGCGCUCAUACGCCAACCUCGACAAGCUGGUCGCCGACGUGCUCCUCUCGGGUGGCGGCAAGAGUUCUCAGGAGGGUUUCAGUUCGCACACCGCCACUGUCCAAUGAUUCGGACUGAACAUGGAUGGUAGUACACCAAAAGAGAAGUUUGUGUGAAUGUCGAGGCAAACCCAUAAAUCAUGGAGCAUGUGAUGGAAUGGAAGGACCGAAGGAGCCAGUGGCGGAAGAAGUUACUUCUCGUAGUAGGCAAAAAUUGGAAUAUGAAAACCUGGAAGCUAAGAGGGAAUCAUAAAAGCAUAUGGAGGAACUAUGUAUAGGCUACAAAGAAGCAUAAGAAGCAUUUUUAUAGCAGAAGCCAAGUGUUCUGAUGAUUUUGUUUUUUCAAUUGUGUUUUCUGUUAUUAGUUCAGCAUGCACAUAUAUUGACAUGAUUUAUGGCAUGGCAUCUGCCAUCUUUGUUAUAUUUAUGACAUCGUUCUUGAUUGAUGUGUGCGA